rnacentral:rRNA from 1 species
AUGCAAAUUAUUUGCAGAUUUGCAGAGAUGAAGAGAAAAAAUAUGAGCAUAAACAGUUUUUUUGCAAGUAGUUCAAGUACUCGUGUCGAACCUGAUCCUAUCCCAGCCAGUCCACUGAUCCCAGCGAAUGUGAACCCAGAUCCCCUUUCCCUCGCUGUAGUGACCAUAGUUCCUACUUCAACUAAUGAGAGACAUGAUCCCUCAACUCCAAGCAAUGAGAGAAAUGACACCACAUUUGAUGAGAGUACAAACCAACCAAGAAUGCCUAUACUAGAAUUUCAUCCAAGUCAAAUUAUUGCUGAUCCAGGACUUAGAAUACCAAUAGAAGAUUAUGCCCCUGAAAUUAGAAGUGAUGUGAGAAGAGCUUAUUUGUUGAACAAACGAAACAAAGCUAUUGGGCAUAAAUUCAAAAAGACAAAGGAUGGUAAAAUUUGGAGAUCCUUUCAGCGUGCGUGGUUUGACAAUUUUGAUUGGUUGGAAUAUAGUGUGGAUAAGGAGGCUGCGUUUUGCUUUGAUUGCUUCCUUUUCAAGAAACCAUCCCAAGCCAUUAGAUUUGGCAAUGAUGUUUUCACAAAAAAUGGGUACACUCGUUGGAAAACAGGUUUAGCUAGUUUUGAAAAGCAUGUUGGUGGUCAAUCUAGUUACCACAACAUUGCUAGGGGAGAUUGUGAUGAUUUCAACAAUCAACGAGCAAGUGUGGUUACCAAAUUCCGAGUGUACAGCAAAGAGGUUGAGAUAUCUUAUAAAAUCCGCCUAACUGCAUCAUUGGAUUGUGCAAGGUAUCUCAUAGCAUAA